CUUUCGUUGGGUUUUCUCUAAGAAAUGUCCAAUCCAUAAGAAGAAGUUAUUUAUUUAUUUAUCAUUAUUAUUAUUUGCAACAAGUUAAGACUACUCUUCUUCCCUUCUUUAUUUUUUAUUUUUUUCCUCUCACAUAACUCUAAUUGUGUGAGAACUUGUCUGCAUGAUUUCGAGUUGAUGCACCAUUCAUUUACAUAACUUUUCUCUAAAAACAAUUAAGGAAAAGUCGUUACUCUUUUCCUAGGAUUCUUCCAUUCUCUUUCCUUACCUUUACCUCAUAAUUUACAUUUUUUCCCUUUAAUUAGCCAAACACUUCCCAUCACUCUUCCUGCGGUCUUUUUUCUUAUUGCUUUUAGGUUUCUUUUCUCUAUCAUAUAUUUUCAUUCCCUCAUAAAAAACAGAUUUUUUUUUUUGGGCAACAAGGUUUUAUUUCAAUUUUGCAAUGGCGUUAUCUAUUUGAUUAUGCAGUGAUCAUCAAGAUUUCGAUAUGACGGUUUUCAUAUUAUUCUUGCAAAGCAUCUUGGUUCUCUAACUUGGAAGG